UACAAUAUGGACGAAAAAGAAAAUUUGCAAAAGAUUUGAUCAACUCCAUCAGAUACCAUCAGCUAAAAACAAUAUUGAGACAGUAGAGAUGGCCAAGUCAUCAUGGAAAAAUCUGUGAUUGCUUUAUGAGGGAACAUAAAAACUAUAGAGCCAGGGAUUCAGUAUACCAAUUUGAAAAAAACAAAUCCUGUUAUAUCUAAAAUUGAUAAAGAAUGCUAGAGCAAUGUAUGAGGAGUGGUAAUAUUCCAUUGAAAUCCCCUGCAUAGAGACAAGUAGUGAAGCUACAAUUUUAAGGAAUGAUUGUAAUCAUAUUUUAUAUAAAUAAUAUUAAUAUAUUUAGCAUCACUAUCAACUAGUAUAGGAUCAAAUUUAUCUUGCAAAAAAUUAAUUAA